UUGAUCAGGGCCCUAUUCCCUAUAUAGUACACUACUGUUGACCAGGGCCCUAUUCCCUAUAUAGUACACUAAUUUUGAUCAGAGGCCUAUUCCCUAUAUAGUGCACUAAUUUUGAUCAGAGGCCUGUGAGGAAUAGGGGGCCAAUUGGGACGCAGACUGUAUGUGAAACUGAUCAGUUUUUAAAUGUUUCUGCGGUUCUUAUUGGUUGUCUGAUUCUCUGACCAUGUCUGUGGUUGUUAUGGUUACCGUCUGAUCCAGUUCAUACAGACUGUUUUGGUUGUUGUUUCUUUGUUCUGUUUAUCUCUCUCUCUUUUUGUGGUUUAACUGUCUGUGGUCAGGUUCUGGCCAAUCAGAUGGGUCCGUGGUCAGGUUCUGGCCAAUCAGAUGGGUCCGUGGUCAGGUUCUGGCCAAUCAGAUGGGUCCGUGGUCAGGUUCUGCCAAUCAGAUGGGUCCGUGGUCAGGUUCUGGCCAAUCAGAUGGGUCCGUGGUCAGGUUCUGGCCAAUCAGAUGGGUCCGUGGUCAAUCAGAUGGGUCCGUGGUCAGGUUCUGGCCAAUCAGAUGGGUCUGUGGUGGUGUUGUGACUACUGCUGUCUAACUCCUCCUGGAGGACCCCUGGUGUUUCUGAUAGUUUAACUUCCGUCCGGGAUUCAAUCAAAGGCGCAUUGUGGAUUAUGAGCAAACCAAACUAGACUGUUCAAUCAAAUGUUCAGCUGACAUCCGCAGCGUUUACCAUGACAACCAGAGGAAUGAGCUGGUUAACGGUGCGACGUGGUCAGUGCACCUUUAGGUUGAAUCCCAGCCGUCUCAUUCAGACCUGGGACACCAAAUCAUGUAUCAAUUACAUGUCCCAAAAUGGCACCCUAUUCCCUAUAUAGUCCCCUAC